GUGACAGAGUGAGGGAGGGUGUGACUAGUGACAGAGGGAGGAGUGACUAGGGACAAAGUGAGGGAGGUGGUGACUAGUGACAGUCACCACCUCCCUCACUCUGUCACUAGUCACCACCUCCCUCACUCUGUCACCAGUCAUCCACUCACUCUGCCACUAGUCACCCCUUCCCUCACUCUGUCACCUGUCACCCCCUCACUCUAGUGACAGAGUGAGGGACGGUGUGACUAGUGACAGUCACCACCUCCUUUACUCUGUCACUAGUCACCCCCUCCCUCACUCUGUCAUU